AUUGAACGCUGGCGGCAGGCCUAACACAUGCAAGUCGAGCGGAUGAAGGGAGCUUGCUCCUGGAUUCAGCGGCGGACGGGUGAGUAAUGCCUAGGAAUCUGCCUGGUAGUGGGGGAUAACGUCCGGAAACGGGCGCUAAUACCGCAUACGUCCUGAGGGAGAAAGUGUGGGAUCUUCGGACCUCACGCUAUCAGAUGAGCCUAGGUCGGAUUAGCUAGUUGGUGGGGUAAAGGCCUACCAAGGCGACGAUCCGUAACUGGUCUGAGAGGAUGAUCAGUCACACUGGAACUGAGACACGGUCCAGACUCCUACGGGGGGCAGCAGUGGGGAAUAUUAGACAAUGGGCGAAAGCCUGAUCCAGCCAUGCCGCGUGUGUGAAGAAGGUCUUCGGAUUGUAAAGCACUUUAAGUUGGGAGGAAGAGCAGUAAGUUAAUACCUUGCUGUUUUGACGUUACCAACAGAAUAAGCACCGGCUAACUUCGUG
rnacentral:rRNA from 1 species